UACGUAGGUGGCAAGCGUUGUUCGGAAUUACUGGGCGUAAAGGGCGCGUAGGCGGCUUCGAUAGUCGGGUGUGAAAUGCCUGGGCUCAACCCAGGAACUGCACUCGAAACUCCGAGGCUAGAGUGUGGGAGAGGAUAGUGGAAUUCCCAGUGUAGAGGUGAAAUUCGUAGAUAUUGGGAAGAACACCGGUGGCGAAGGCGGCUAUCUGGACCACAACUGACGCUGAGGCGCGAAAGCGUGGGGAGCAAACAGG
rnacentral:rRNA from 1 species